rnacentral:lncRNA from 1 species
UAGGGGUGAGUUACUAAGUCAGUGUGUGUAAAGGGAUUUAGGGGUGAGUUACUAAGUCAGUGUGUGUGUGAAGGGGUUUAGGGAGUGAGCUACUAAGUCAGUGUGUGUGUGAAGGGGUUUAGGGGUGAGCUACUAAGUCAGUGUGUGUGUGUGUGUGUGAAAGGGUUUAUGGGUGAGUUACUAAGUCAGUGUGUGUAAAGGGAUUUAGGGGUGAGUUACUAAGUCAGUGUGUGUGUGAAGGGGUUUAGGGAGUGAGCUACUAAGUCAGUGUGUGUGUGUGUGUGAAAGGGUUUAUGGGUGAGCUACUAAGUCAGUGUGUGUGUGAAGGGGUUUAGGGGUGAGCUACUAAUAUCAGUGUGUGUGUGAAGGGGUUUAGGGGUGAGCUACUAAGUCAGUGUGUGUGUGAAGGGGUUUAGGGGUGAGCUACUAAGUCAGUGUGUGUGUGAAGGGGUUUAGGGAGUGAGCUACUAAGUCAGUGUGUGUGUGAAGGGGGGUUUAGGGAGUGAGCUACUAAGUCAGUGUGUGUGUGUGUGAAGGGGUUUCGGGAGUGAGCUACUAAGUCAGUGUGUGUGUGAAGGGGUUUAGGGGUGAGCUACUACGUUAGUGUGUGUGUGAAGGGGUUUAGGGGUGAGCUACUAUGUCAGUGUGUGUGUGAAGGGGUUUAGGGAGUGAGCUACUAAGUCAGUGUGUGUGUGUGAAGGGGUGUAGGGAGUGAGCUACUAAGUCAGUGUGUGAAGGGGUUUAGGGAGUGAGCUACUAAGUCAGUGUGUGAAGGGGUUUAGGGAGUGAGCUACUAAGACAGUGUGUGUGUGAAGGGGUUUAGGGAAUGAGCUACUAAGUCAGUGUGUGUGUGUGAAGGGGGGUUUAGGGAGUGAGCUACUAAGUCAGUGUGUGUGUGUGUGAAGGGGUUUCGGGAGUGAGCUACUAAGUCAGUGUGUGUGUGAAGGGGUUUAGGGGUGAGCUACUACGUUAGUGUGUGUGUGAAGGGGUUUAGGGGUGAGCUACUAAGACAGUGUGUGUGCGAAGGGGUUUAGGGGUGAGCUACUAAGUCAGUGUGUGUGUGAAGGGGUUUAGGGGUGAGCUACUAAGUCAG